AACCCCGCAGGAAGUAAGUGCAAAAGACU
rnacentral:piRNA from 1 species